UCCAGUAUAUAUCCAUUCCACAAUCUCAAACCCUAGUCCUCUCUUUCGACCGGAAACCUAAAAUCCUAGUCGCGUAUUCUCCGAUUUCCUCCCGGUCCCUGCAAUUGUUUCAUCGGAGACUCGAAAACUCGUUCUGGAUUUUAGAUAUUCUGGAUGGGAACAGAGCGGAAGAGGAAAGUAAGCUUGUUUGAUGUGGUGGAUGACAUGCCAGCGAAGAAAGUGAAUGUUGGAAGCUUAAACGGUAGCAUGACGCCUUCGAUUAAUAAGUGGAACGGGAAGCCUUACUCACAGAGAUUCUAUGAGAUAUUGGAGAAAAGGAAGACUCUUCCGGUUUGGCAUCAAAAGGAGGAGUUUUUACAGGCUUUAAAAUCUAAUCAAACCCUAAUUUUGGUUGGUGAAACCGGUAGUGGUAAAACCACUCAGAUUCCGCAGUUUGUUUUAGAUGCUGUUGAAGUUGAGACGGCUGAUAAGCGCCGGAAGUAUAUGAUUGGUUGCACUCAACCUCGGAGGGUGGCUGCAAUGUCCGUGUCUCGUCGAGUUGCUGAAGAGAUGGAUGUUGCAAUUGGGGAAGAAGUUGGAUAUAGCAUCCGUUUUGAAGACUGCAGUAGUGCUAGAACUGUUUUAAAAUACUUAACAGAUGGUAUGCUUUUAAGAGAAGCAAUGGCAGAUCCUCUAUUGGAACGCUACAAAGUAAUCAUUCUGGAUGAAGCCCAUGAAAGAACUUUGGCAACAGAUGUCCUGUUUGGGCUUCUUAAAGAGGUGUUGAAAAAUAGACCAGACCUAAAGCUUGUUGUUAUGAGUGCCACACUUGAGGCAGAGAAGUUUCAGGGUUACUUCUUUGGUGCGCCUCUCAUGAAAGUGCCUGGAAGGCUUCAUCCUGUGGAAAUUUUCUACACUCAGGAGCCUGAGAGAGAUUAUCUCGAGGCUGCCAUUCGGACUGUGGUGCAGAUACACACGUGUGAACCUCCUGGUGACAUACUUGUUUUCCUUACCGGAGAGGAGGAGAUUGAAGAUGCUUGUCGCAAAAUCAAUAAGGAGGUUAGUAAUUUGGGUGAUCAAGUGGGCCCGGUUAAAGCGGUGCCUCUUUAUUCUACACUUCCCCCAGCUAUGCAGCAAAAGAUAUUUGAAUCAGCCCCACCCCCGGUGGUGGAGGGUGGUCCUGCUGGCAGGAAGAUCGUUGUGUCAACCAACAUUGCAGAGACAUCUUUGACAAUUGAUGGCAUUGUUUAUGUCAUAGAUCCGGGAUUUGCUAAACAAAAAGUUUAUAACCCAAGGGUGCGUGUUGAAUCUUUGUUGGUGUCUCCUAUUUCGAAGGCCAGUGCCCACCAGAGAUCAGGACGUGCUGGAAGAACGCAGCCAGGGAAAUGCUUUAGACUUUACACAGAGAAAAGUUUCCAUAACGACCUUCAACCACAGACCUAUCCAGAAAUACUUCGGUCAAAUUUGGCCAAUACAGUUCUAACUUUGAAGAAGUUAGGUAUUGAUGACCUGGUUCAUUUUGAUUUUAUGGAUCCUCCUGCCCCAGAGACAUUGAUGAGAGCACUGGAGGUUUUGAAUUACUUGGGAGCAUUGGAUGAUGAGGGGAACUUGACUAGGUUGGGUGAGAUUAUGAGUGAAUUUCCUCUUGAUCCUCAGAUGGCAAAAAUGCUUGUUGUCAGCUCAGAAUUCAACUGCUCCAAUGAAAUCCUCUCAAUAUCUGCCAUGCUAUCAGUACCCAAUUGCUUUGUCCGGCCUAGGGAGGCUCAGAAAGCUGCAGAUGAAGCAAAGAAUCGGUUCGGUCACAUAGAUGGGGAUCAUUUGACGUUGCUGAAUGUGUAUCAUGCCUACAAGCAGAACACGGAAGACCCUCAAUGGUGCUACGAGAAUUUCAUCAAUCAGAGGGCUCUCAAAUCAGCUGACAAUGUGAGGCAACAGCUUUCUCGCAUAAUGGCCAGGUUCAACCUCAAGUUAUGCAGCACAGACUUCAACAGUCGCGACUUCUACAUAAACAUAAGAAAGGCUAUGUUAGCUGGAUAUUUCAUGCAGGUUGCUCACCUAGAGCGUACUGGGCACUAUCUGACUGUUAAAGACAAUCAAGUGGUUCACUUGCAUCCGUCAAAUUGUNCCUUCAAAUUGCCUGGAUCAUAAGCCAGAAUGGGUUAUCUAUAAUGAAUAUGUCUUGACAAGCAGGAAUUUCAUCCGUACUGUGACUGAUAUUCGUGGUGAAUGGUUGGUUGAUAUUGCACCACAUUACUAUGACCUUGCUAACUUUCCGCAAUGUGAGGCAAAACGAGUUCUUGAGCGGUUAUACAAGAAGCGAGAGCGAGAAAAAGAUGAAAGCAAGAGCAAAAGAUGAAUGCAUUCUUCAUAAUUUCAGUUCCCCUCAGCAUGCACGCUUCAGGGGAGUUCUGGGGUCAAAAUUAGUCAGAUAGGCUAAAGACUGAUGUACUAUCUACUAUGUACUGUAAUUGUUUGUACGGUUCUCGUCUGAACGAUUUAGUACCUGUUUCUUGUUGCUGGAGUAAUCUGUUUCUUGUUCCUUGCCUCCAAUGUCCUGAUAUAUCAGACCAAUUCUUUUAGCUC